AGUAAUUUGCCAUGGUGGAGCUGGUGUUUCCAUAAGUUCUUUUCUUAUUGACUCGUUAGAAUUUCCAUUUCUGAUAGUCAAUAACAAAAGUAGAAUUUCUAUUCUGAAAAUUUUGUCUCUGGUCUCAAUUUUUCAUAUAGUUUCUUUUGGAAUUUGUCUUCUCUCAUAUAUCGUGCUAACUUAAUUAUAUGUAUUUAAUGCUUUCAUUGUAAAGAUGUCAUUAUUAACUUGCUUGGGCAUUUCUUGACAACCAGUAUGCGACUUGUGUACAUCUUCGGGAUGAUAAGCAGUUUUUUCUAGAUCAUCCUGGUGCAGCGCCUAUCACCACAGUGCAGGGUGAGGAACUGAGAAAACUUAUCGGUGCUCCAGUUUACAUCGAAUGUAGUUCAAAAACACAGCAGAAUGUGAAGGCUGUUUUUGAUGUGGCCAUCAAAGUAGUUCUCCAGCCUCCAAAGCAGAAGAAAAAGAAGAGAAAGGGUCAAAAAACCUGUUCCAUAUUGUGAUCUUCUCAGUUCUAAAUUGGUAGUUGGCAGAGGAUGACAUGACUGUAGCCAUUUCUUGGUAGUCUUUGCCAUUCUAUAUCUUUGCUGCAUAACACAUGAUGGUGUUGGUGUUCCGGAAAUAUUACUGAACCAAAUGUUCGGACGAGAGGGACAAGAAUCCGAGGAGGGUAUUAGUCUGCUCAUCAGCAGAAAGUUGCUGAAGCUGAUGCAAAUCAUCUUUCAUCUUAACAGUUGAACUGGCUGCUUCCCAAAAAUUGAUUGCUUAAAGUUAUAGGAAAAUAAAUACUUUGAGUUUUUGUAAAUCAUAGAGACUGACAUAGAUUAAUUGAGACAAAUUUUGUACAGAAGGCUCUUUCUUUUCAUUUUGAAGAUU